rnacentral:tRNA from 1 species
AGAGGAGGGUUUAAGUCCUUUCUUCCUGA